AGGACGGCCCCAGGACGCCCCCGGGCGCUGCCCGGCGGGGCCGGGCGGGAUGCGGGACGAUGCGCCCCCUCCGCCGGCACUGCCGCGACCCCUGGCGGCCGCGCACGGCGCGUCGCCCAGCGUGGCGCAAGUCCCGCUCAAGUCUCGCUGAAACCCGGCGCAGCAGAACACGAGAAACUUCCAAGUACGAACCGUUUAGAAGCAAUGUUCCGAAUCAAAAAUAGCUUAUAAAUGUCAUUCUAAAAUGUUUUGCAACGUAGAGCGUGAGAAGUGAUCUUUUUAUGCCUUCCCAGUGGGAAUCAAGGCUAUCUGUCUCGUAGAUUCAGAUCUGCAGAGUAUCAUCUGUGACAUGAAAAUAUGAAGGGAAAUGAGCUGUUACCUGCUUACUGCAGCUGUUGAGGCAGUCUGGGGCAUCAGUUUCACUCAGGGCAAACGGUCCUACUACAGCAAGAGGCAGACUCAAGGUAUUGUCCAAUUUACAGACACAGGCCAGUCAUUUUCAAAAAGUUAAAAUUUAGCUUUUGAAUAGGGAUGAUUAAACACCAACAUUUCAUUUUGUUUCACUUAUCCUGUACUCAAGGUGGUGGUUAAGAAAGGUGUAGAGCACGGGUAAGUCAGGUAAUAAGCAAAGCAAGCCCUCCAGCAGAACAAGCACUGUCCCACUGUCUCCACCCUGCAGAGCUGUUCCAGCAGCAGGAUCUUCCCACUGAGAGAAGCAGAGGAGAAGCAACGUGUCUGGUGCUUCAAGGCCUGGUGCACGGCAAUGACUGCCACAGGGCAGGAAAGUGGAUGAGCCAGCCAGCAAGAUAAUAUAUGCUCAGCCUACUAUUAUUUGUGGAUAAAAUGAAAAGAGCAGCUGUGACGGGAAAACUAAAGACAAAGAACACAUCAGAGAAAAGUCACCUAAGGAUGCAAAAUCUUAAAGAAUCCUAAAUACAGGAAAACAGGAAGUUAGAAAUGAAAACACCUGACUGUUUUUACCAUCUUAAACUACAGAAAAACACUGCCACCUUUGCCGAUAUAACACAUGAGCCUGCAAGAUGAAGGCUAUUCUGUGGCUCACGUGUGGAUGUGAAGGAACAAAGACUACCCAAGCUCACCUGCAUGGAAACUGUGAAACUGCCUGAAAAAUUUGGGGAAUACUGAGCUCAGCAUUUAUUAGGAAGAUUGCCACCGAUUCUGAGUAGAAAUGAAGAAUGAGUUUCUAUUCAAACUUAAGUGAAGAGAAAUAAUUCUGCAACUUCAGAAGUUUAUAGAGCAAUAUGGAGAAGCACAGAAAGGAGACAAAUAGUUCAAAGUACAAUAGAACGGUGAAAAGUACUUUUUUUUAAUUCAUAAUGCAUUUUCUUCCAUUGCCUUUUGUGUUCAGCUUAAGACAGUUGUGCAAACAAGCUUCUUUAACAUUUUGUGGGCAAACAGAAAAAUCAAUAGAUUUUUAUGUCUCCACAUGCACAUGGUUUUGUCCAAUUUAUUCAAGCACUCACCCUCUCAGAAAGUAAGAACAAUUUUGUCCAGCAAGCAAGAACAACAGACAUGUCCCAAGUGAUUAUAGGAUGCCUUUGAAGAACCUUUUUCUGGUGAACACUUGUCAGCAGAAGCUGUGUUUGUUGGAUUUGUGACCGCAGGAUAUUUCUUCCUUGAGCCACACGAAGUACGAUGAAGGGCAGAGGAGACAGUGAUUUGGGAUAAACCUGGAGCACUGGGACUGCAGUUCCAGCCCAAAGCCUAACUUGAAGGAGGGGAUAUAAGUCUGAUAAGGAACGGGAGGACAAAUCCUUCCUUCUUCUUAUAUGUGCCCAGAUCUGGAAUUUAGAAAGACCAAUAAAGGCAAGCAGUAGCUAAGUACAGGCAGGAAAAGGCAAUAACAACUCAUUUGAAGCAAUUACAAAUGUCAGAGCUAAAUCAGAAAAGCCCUGUCAGUGAAAGAGAAAGAUGGCUGAUCUUUUGAAAUGCUCCUGAAAAAUCCCUGCAAAAUAGGCACUUAGAAAGUUGGCUUUGAAUCUGUUAGACUUACACAGAAACACUAAAUUAUUGUGCCACAUAUAGACUCCUUGCCUAAAGCAAUACAAAUCAAUAAAACACACACAAGUAUUUCGUAUUUCCUCAUCCAAAACUCUACAUUUCCCUGUCAUGUUUCGGGGUUUGCAUCCUGUAGCACAUGAUUCCUACAUUUUCCUUAAUUUUAGAAACCUAGCAACCUAGUCAUACUAGCAACCUCUCUUCUGUCUGAGAAGGACAAGGCAGGGUUUUAACCAUCAGUGCUGCUCAGCGCUAGCAGUAAAGCUGGGUGAAAUGAACAUUCUACCCCUAGGGGGUAUGGAUUGGAGCUGGAAUGCCCAGGUUACACACAGAGUUGCCAUGCCCUUCUGUCCUUUCUGAGAGCUGAUGCGUUUAGAAAGUGAUUAUAUUGGUAGGGAGGGAUUAGCAGACAUCACACUAACAGAUCGUGCUUUCUGAAUGUUCUAGAGGAAAAAACUAAGGAGAGGUGGAGAGGUUUUGGAGACCAAAUUUAGCAGAACUGAAUUCCCUACUUUUUCAGUUUGCUUAACAGUGAGAAAAACCAUAGCAAAAUAGAUAUGUUAACAGGGUCAAAAAUUGUCUGAGCUCUCCCAAACAAGCAGCUUCAGAAAAA